rnacentral:rRNA from 1 species
GGUUUAAUUCGAAGCAACGCGAAGAACCUUACCAGGUCUUGACAUCUUCUGACAAUUCCAGAGAUGGAACGUUCCCCUUCGGGGACAGAAUGACAGGUGGUGCAUGGUUGUCGUCAGCUCGUGUCGUGAGAUGUUGGGUUAAGUCCCGCAACGAGCGCAACCCUUAUUGUCAGUUGCCAUCAUUAAGUUGGGCACUCUGGCGAGACUGCCGGUGACAAACCGGA